rnacentral:rRNA from 1 species
GAUGAACGCUGGCGGCGUGCCUAAUACAUGCAAGUCGAGCGAACAGACGAGGAGCUUGCUCCUCUGACGUUAGCGGCGGACGGGUGAGUAACACGUGGAUAACCUACCUAUAAGACUGGGAUAACUUCGGGAAACCGGAGCUAAUACCGGAUAACAUGUUGAACCGCAUGGUUCAACAGUGAAAGACGGUCUUGCUGUCACUUAUAGAUGGAUCCGCGCCGCAUUAGCUAGUUGGUAAGGUAACGGCUUACCAAGGCAACGAUGCGUAGCCGACCUGAGAGGGUGAUCGGCCACACUGGAACUGAGACACGGUCCAGACUCCUACGGGAGGCAGCAGUAGGGAAUCUUCCGCAAUGGGCGAAAGCCUGACGGAGCAACGCCGCGUGAAUGAAGAAGGUCUUCGGAUCGUAAAGCUCUGUUAUUAGGGAAGAACAAAUGUGUAAGUAACUAUGCACGUCUUGACGGUACCUAAUCAGAAAGCCACGGCUAACUACGUG